GAUUGAACGCUGGCGGCAGGCCUAACACAUGCAAGUCGAACGGUAACAGGAAGCAGCUUGCUUCUUGCUGACGAGUGGCGGACGGGUGAGUAAUGUCUGGGAAACUGCCUGAUGGAGGGGGAUAACUACUGGAAACGGUAGCUAAUACCGCAUAACGUCGCAAGACCAAAGAGGGGGACCUUCGGGCCUCUUGCCAUCGGAUGUGCCCAGAUGGGAUUAGCUUGUGGUGGGGUAACGGCUCACCAGGCGACGAUCCCUAGCUGGUCUGAGAGGAUGACCAGCCACACUGGAACUGAGACACGGUCCAGACUCCUACGGGAGGCAGCAGUGGGGAAUAUUGCACAAUGGGCGCAAGCCUGAUGCAGCCAUGCCGCGUGUAUGAAGAAGGCCUUCGGGUUGUAAAGUACUUUCAGCGGGGAGGAAGGGAGUAAAGUUAAUACCUUUGCUCAUUGACGUUACCCGCAGAAGAAGCACCGGCUAACUCCGUGCCAGCAGCCGCGGUAAUACGGAGGGUGCAAGCGUUAAUCGGAAUUACUGGGCGUAAAGCGCACGCAGGCGGUUUGUUAAGUCAGAUGUGAAAUCCCCGGGCUCAACCUGGGAACUGCAUCUGAUACUGGCAAGCUUGAGUCUCGUAGAGGGGGGUAGAAUUCCAGGUGUAGCGGUGAAAUGCGUAGAGAUCUGGAGGAAUACCGGUGGCGAAGGCGGCCCCCUGACGAAGACU
rnacentral:rRNA from 1 species